UUCCGGUUGAUCCUGCCAGACCUGACUGCUAUCGGAUUGAUACUAAGCCAUGUGAGUCAUUGUAGCAAUACAAGGCAGACGGCUCAGUAACACGUAGUCAAUCUACCCUAUGGACGGGGAUAACCUCGGGAAACUGAGGAUAACACCCGAUAGAUCAUAAUUCCUGGAAUGGUUUAUGGUCCAAAUGAUUCGUCGCCGUAGGAUGGGACUGCGGCCUAUCAGCUUGUUGGUGAGGUAAUGGCCCACCAAGGCUAUUACAGGUACGGGCUCUGUGAGGAGAAGCCCGGAGAUGGGUACUGAGACACGGACCCAGGCCCUAUGGGGCGCAGCAGGCGAGAAACCUUUGCAAUGUGCGCAAGCACGACAAGGUUAAUCCGAGUGUUUCCUGCUAAAGGAAUCUUUUGUUAGUUGUAAAACCACUAUCGAAUAAGGGGUGGGCAAGUUCUGGUGUCAGCCGCCGCGGUAAAACCAGCACCUCAAGUGGUCAGGAGGAUUAUUGGGCCUAAAGCAUCCGUAGCCUGUUCUAUAAGUUUCCGGUUAAAUCCACUAGCUCAACUAGUGGGCUGCCGAAAAUACUGUAGAACUAGGGAGUGGGAGAGGUAGACGGUAUUCGGUAGGAAGGGGUAAAAUCCUUUGAUCUAUUGAGGACCACCUGUGGCGAAGGCGGUCUACCAGAACACGUUCGACGGUGAGGGAUGAAAGCUGGGGGAGCAAACCGGAUUAGAUACCCGGGUAGUCCCAGCUGUAAACGAUGCAGACUCGGUGAUGCCCUGGCUUGUGGCCAGUGCAGUGCCGCAGGGAAGCCGUUAAGUUUGCCGCCUGGGAAGUACGUACGCAAGUAUGAAACUUAAAGGAAUUGGCGGGGGAGCACCACAAGGGGUGAAGCCUGCGGUUCAAUUGGAUUCAACGCCGGG
rnacentral:rRNA from 1 species